rnacentral:tRNA from 1 species
GGGGAUAUAGCUCAGUUGGUAGAGCUGCGCUCUUGCAAGGCGUAUGUCAGCGGUUCGAGUCCGCUUAUCUCCA